UUGAGAGCCAUGAAGUCUUAAGGUUCAAAUUACGGUAGAGGCAAAAACACUAGGCGAUCCUUUCCAUUUAUUCUAGCCUUCGAUUGACGGAGAUAAGUUACCUGAUACUUGUUGCAGGUGAAAAGUGGAAGAUAUUCAUGAAAUUAGUCCAAGGGCGUCAAAGCUGGCAAUUCUUUAGUUUAUCGUUAUCUUCCAGUCACUAAAGUAAUUAUCUUAGCCCAAAAUAGAAGGUUUAACAAUCAACCUGUUCAGAUCGCGCUCUUUUUAGCUCAUCUCAUCCCAACCUUUGGUCAGCCAAUACAGGUAUAACUAAUUAUACUGCAUCAGUAAGUUAACUAAGACUUAAACAGUCAAAUUUACAGACAGAUGCAAAGCUAAUUGAUGAUGCUACACUUGUUAACAGUGAAACUUCCUCAAAAACCCCAAUUUUUCCACCAAGAAACCAAAAAAAAAA